rnacentral:tRNA from 1 species
AGAGCCUUAGUGUUAGCUUAUAGCACGCUAGGGAAAAAGAAGAAGAUGCUAAAGGUCUAUGGCAUCGAUUGGCUUACUCUUGCUGUUAAUUUAAAGAAAUUGAAUAAAGAAUUAAGUAAAAACAGAGUCUCGUAGCUCAGCUGGUUAGAGUACUACACUGAUAAUGUAGGGGUCGGCAGUUCGAGUCUGCCCGGGACUACUAUUUUAACUUGAUUAGGAAAUUCUAGAGGUUGAAAUCCUUAUUUUUUUGGAAUUUGGAAUUUAAAGAUUUGGAAUUUUAAAAGAAAGGGGGAUUAGCUCAGCUGGCUAGAGCGCCUACCUUGCACGCAGGAGGUCAUCGGUUCGACUCCGAUAUUCUCCACAAGAUAGUAUCAAGAUGAUAGUAUCAAGAAUUAAGACAAAUACGUUCUUAAUGCUUAAUACAGAAUACUUAAUACUUAUUUAAAGUUCAUUGACAUAUUGAGAUAAAAACAUUUAAAAAGUAGAAAGCAGAUUUGCUAUUUAUUUAGUAAAUCGAAAAAAACGGUCUUGUUUAAGAACAAGAUUGGUAC